CAGAAAAAAAUAAAUAAAUAAAAAGAGUUCAAACUUGAUUAGAUGUAAUGUUUUAGCCGAUUAGCCGAAACAGGUCUGAGUGGACUGCGCCGAGUCAACCUCUCUCCAACACCUAUUAAUUUCAACAAGAGUAACACAUCUGUGUUGUGGAUAAGGAAACAAUGUGACCAGUGUCGGGGGAAUGGAGGAUGAAGGGUGUGUGCAGUGGGAGAGAGGACAGAGAAGUCCAGGAAGAUCUCGACCCAAAUAAUGAGCAGUGAGACAGGAGUGACUUUGGAUCUUGGGGGAUUCAACAGACACGUAGAGUUGGAGCUAUGUGUUCCUGAUAUGUGCUGCACCACUCCAGAAGAGGUUCUCAUCAUCAGGUUGCUGGUGAAGGGGUUGUAAGGUGAG